GCCUGGGUGGCUCAGUCAGUUAAGCAUCUGACUUCGGCUCAGGUCAUGAUCUCACAGCUCGUGAGUUCGAGCCUCACGUCAGACU
rnacentral:tRNA from 1 species